rnacentral:lncRNA from 1 species
UGUUACUCCAUAAUUGAACAAUGUUUGUCAAAUAAAAACAAAAAUGCUACAAUAUCAAAAUCCAAAACCUUUUUGAUCUAAACGGCCUAAAUAUUUUUAUAACGUAACAAUAUUUAUAGACAAAAAGGAGAUGAAGCUCUUAGUUCUGCUGAAUUUUAUCUCAUCCACGAUGACUUUGUAAGACUUUUAUGCUCAAGACUGUUAUUGGUAACUUCAUCAUUAAUCUGACAAUAAAAGGUAUAUUUGCAUCCAGACACGGGAUGAUGCCCCCCACAAUGUUCCAUCUUAUUUAUAUUUACCACCAAACAUGUAUCCGAGGUAGCAAAAUAAUCAUGUGUCAUUGCAUGCUUAAGAAUAGCAAUCUCCUGCACUUGGAUACAACAGAUUCCCCUGCCUUGGAACCUUCAAGUGGUGGUGCCAUAGCAUAAGUAUACUUUCCCCAAUCUUAAUAAAUUAUUGUACGUGUUUCAAAUGCUUUGAUGAUGGUAUCCAAUUCAUGUGAAUCCCAUCUCAUAAGAAAGUUGGGAGGCUUCAUCAUGAUCAUCUGGCUAGAAGCUAGCGUCCUCUGUUGUGGGCCGCCUCAAGAAAUAGCGCAAGCUAUUAGAAAGAACCUGAAGAUACGAGAUAAAUCAGAAUGUGGCAACAAAAUGUGGUGCUGACAUGAGUUCUAUGAGAAUCAGGUGUAUAGGAAAAACUCAAGAAUGGGCAUUGAAAGCCUACCUGUUUUAAAGCCUCCAUCAGUGGUUUGCCCCUGUAGCUGACAUGGAAUUUUGCUUUAGCCAGUAGCCCCUACAAGAGUAUAAAAUGUAAGGAGUUGAAUAUGGUUACUUGCAUGAACAGACACACUUUGCAAAAUCAUUGUCACCUCAGUAUCAAACUCUCCAGAUUGGACAUUAAUGUUGAUGUCUGAGAUGAUCUUAACAAGGUCAACCAGCAACCCCGGACGAUCCGCUGUUUCCACCACAAGUAAGCUGAAAUGGAACAAUAAAGAAAUUCAAAAUCACUUGAUAUUAUUAGAGACUAAAGUAGGCAUUUUCGUAUAUCCAGCAUUUAUGUUGAUGAAACAAUAGCUGUGGAUCAAGCAAGGAAAGCCCAGUACAUAUAUGUAACUAGUAGAUGUAGGCAAUGCGUUUUUUUAUUCAAAGGGCAGAUAUAAACUCUUUGAACAUGUCCUUAUGUUGCUUUUUGCUGGAUGAAAUCAAAUCCUUUGGAUUGAUGAGAGAAGAGCAUAAUUUUCUUUACAUUUGAAGAAUAAUGCACAAGGUAAGAAAAACGGCAUACCUUCUUUCAGGGCCAUCAUAGAUAUCUAUGUGGGUUGCUAUGUCCACAUCAACCUACCAAUGUACAAGUGAACAAUGUUAUAUUGAUCAGUGAAGGUUUUCAUGUCUCCAGAACAGACACGUAAUUCUGACGCUGUACUUGGCAGCAAUUUGAUCACUAUUGUACCAUGGGAAGAUCAAUCAAGUCUGUUCUACUAUAAACAGAUCCAAUAAUAAGGCGGUGCAGAUAAGAAAAUUUGAUGCAAUUAAGUUUUGCAAUGAAGCAGAGACAAAAAGGAAAUAAACAGCUCACUUCGAGACAUUAAAGAAAUGUGUCUUUUGUACACCGUUGUGUGCUAAUUCUUUCUCACGAUAGAUAUAGACAAAUAAGAUGGUUUCAUGGAUCUCCAUAGAGAACUGAGAAGUUUUCAGUUCAUAUCUUAAGCAUUUAGAAGAUGUAAUUCUAUGGCAUAGUUUAGGUAAUACCUCUUCUGUAGGGGCUUCUGGCCCAAAAGUUGCUCCCAUAGCCAAUUGACUGCUGGACUCCUGGCACCAAAUUAACAACAUCUUUUUUAUUAUUAUUAUCACUGUAAAUUAUAAAAGGAAAAGGAAAAACAAAGUUAAAGUAGUUACCGGAUGAUACACUAACAUGUUGUUAAUGAUCGUCAGUCGAAUUGCUUCUAACAACUCUGGAUCAUCAAUUUUACGGCCAGUGGACCUGUAGAGCAUUCCUGUCACUCAUUCUAGGCAAGAACUGAUAGAUGCAGGAAAGUACAAAGAAGAAAGAUGUCAUAUUCUGUAGUACAAGGAGACUAAACUUAAAUGAGAGAUUCCUCAUGUCAAGUUUUACAUAUCUAAUGAAAUAUCAAAGAAGAUUCACUUACGCUUUAGUUAUAGAAAACUUGUUAUGCUUGCCAGUAGAAUCGAGACAGACACUAGCUUUAACGACAUUUAGCCCCAAGUUCUUUAGGGCAUUCAUCUAAUAUAUGGGAGAUGUUAAUAAGAUCAUAUCGUCCGUUCGAGAAAAAAAUAAAAAAUAUCAUCUGGUCAAUAGUGAGAAUAUACUGAGAAUUUUAUGUGAAUAACAUACUGUAUCAAGGAGCUCGCCAAGACGAUCACCCAAGGUUAUUUCUACAAUUGUUGCAUCCGGAUCUGAGUCUUGAUCUAUUAUAACUUUCGGGAUAGGGACUAUAUCAGUGUUGCUCCAAUCCUGCUAACCAAAGUAUACGCAGUUAAACAAGCAAGUUCACCCAAUGUUUUAGGUAACCUGUACUAUGUACCUCAACCGCCGCAGCGGAAGUAGCCCUUGGAACCCUCACAGCUGGAGAGGACAAUCUGGAGGUAGGAAAAGAUCAGUUAAAAACACUCCAAACUGAAAAGAAGCAACAUAGUGGAGUUCUAUAUAGAGAUGCUAUGACACUGUAAGACACAGAACAACAAAUAACAGUAGGUUAGUAUUAACAUCAUUGCAGUCUGAAGCAACUAGACUAGAAGCCUCCAAAGGAAAAUUCAUGCAAUAUUUUCGAAAUACUACAAACAAGUGUACUAUUACUUCAGCUUUUUAUUAUGAUAGACUAAUAAAUGAAACCCCAACUUUUGGCUGCAUACCUACUUGCCGCUGCAAAUGGACUCGGCAAACUGUAGAAAUGAUGCCAAUUCUUGACAUAAAAAUGUCAUACAGACGGAUUUCAAGGACAUAUAGCUAGGGUGUUUUGUUCUCAGGCUAAGUUAAUAUAUUUUUCCUGUAAUUAACUAGAAAAUUAAGAACUUAAACAAGCUUGGAAGAAUGAUGAUUGCGUAAGGAAAUUUGUGGAAGCUGCUUCCAAGGCUCACUCAAACUGUGAAAUGAAAAGCAGGCAUGUGGUGGUUUUGCCAAUUAGCACCACCACUUAGCCACAAUAUAUCAUCCAUACAUGAAGCCAAGCAAAAGCUGCUUUGCAAUCUUUAACCCCUUUUCGUUAAGCAAAGCAACAAAUAGCAUAUUCUGCGGUCUACCACUCAAAUAGAAUCAAUGAAUCCAAGAAACAAGCCAUGCCAUCAUGAUGUGAAUGAAUGAGCAUCCUGUACUAAGAGCAUCUCCAAGAGUCUUUCUAAAGCCCACUCUCUAAAAUAUCAUUUGGAGAUCUAUUUGCAUAAAAAUUGUUUUCUAUAUCUUUUCACUUUGCAACAGUUUUUUUUUAUAUCGUUUUCUAUCUUUGGCUGGCAAGAAAUCCAAAAUAGAAUAUGGCUAUAUUAAUUAAAGAAGCUGUUGGACGAUAUUCUUUCACCGAAAUAUCUAUUCCUAGCAAUUAGGAAGGAUUAUUAAAAGUAUCUUGAAGUUGCUCUAACAAAAUUCAAGAAUGAAGCUAAACUGUACAGUCCCAACCGAACAAACGUAUAUUCUCUGCAAGACAACUGCAACCUUUGAAACAUCCUACCAAGGCAGAAAAGAAAAAUGCUAAACGAAGGCGCAGAGUUUGGUGAAGCGCUAAGGGGAUGGCCAAAAACUGAAUCUUGGCCAAUGGCCAAUCCCCUCACCUCAAGUUGGCUGGCGCAAGAGCCCGCCACCGACCAAGAACCGCAGCACGGCGGCCGCCGGGCGCCGUUGGCGACACGCCGGAGCACGUCCGGAGGGUGCCGUUGGCGGCCGCGACAGUCACCGCCAUUUCGGCCAUCUCUCCUUCUCCAAGAAACGGGCCGACGGGAUCCAAUCCGAUCUAGCAACCCAAGUGGGAAGAAAUAGGGGCCCGGUGGACGAGGAAGGCAGUGCUACAAAGGCGACGGCGAGGGCGAUGGGAUCAUGACGAUGAUGCCUGCGGCUGUCGCGGCCGCUCUAUCCAUAUCUUGUCGCGGCUGGCGGCAGUAGAGGGAGGAGGGAGACGCGUGAGAAGGGGCCCGUCCUCCGCUCUCUCCUCACCCUUUAUUACCACGCUAUCAGUUUUCGGCCUUGCUUAGUUCACCCUGAAAACCAAAAAAUUUUCAAGAUUUCCCAUCACAUCGAAUCUUAUGGCACAUGCAUGAAAUAUUAAAUAUAGACGAAAACAAAAACUAAUUACACAGUUUAGCUGAAAAUCACGAGACGAAUAUUUUGAUCCUAGUUAGUCCAUAAUUGGAUAAUAUUUGUCACAAACAAACGAAAGUGCUACAGUUCCGAAAAGUUUUCACUUUUCGGAACUAAACAAGGCCUUCUUCUCUAUGGAAAUGUGUCCCUUUCUUCACAGACAGAAAUCUGGAGUUUCUGAGAUUCAAAAAAAUUCUGGAGUUUUUGAGACAAUUGGAAAUACAUAGUACAAGAUAAUACAGCAAAGUCCACACAAUACCAAAAUAUCUGCACACUGAUGUGACAUCUGUACUCAAACAAAAUAUAAGGUCUUGUUUAGAUGCGUAAAGAUUUUGGAUUUCACUACUGUAGCAUUUUUGUUUGUUUGUGGCAAAUAUUGUCCAAUUAUGGACUAACUAGGAUCAAAAGAUUCGUCUCGCGAUUUAUAGGUAAAUUGUGCAAUUAGUUUUUAUUUUUGUCUAUAUUUAAUACUUUAUGCAUGUCGAAAGAUUCGAUACGACGAGAAAUCUUGAAAAUUUUUUGGUUUUCGAGGUGAACUAAACAAGACCUUACAAUUUGUGAAAAAAUCGACAUCAAACUAAAAUCCAAGAGGGGGGGGGGGGGGGUGGGGGGGGGGGGGAAGUAUUGCGCAACGUGUGGGAAAAAAACGAUAAGAGUAAUCGACAAAAUACCUGUAACAUCUAAAGAAGUAGCAACGUGAAGCCACCUUAUACCACUGUUGAGAAUGGACAAAACUGAGUUCUUUGAUAUUUUUUUCAUCCUACCAAACACACACGUGUUUUUUAGUUCUUUAGUGCUGCGAUUUUACGGAACUGGAGUAGUGAAGAAAUUUUUAUUUUAAUCAUGGUUGUUUAUGAUUUCAGCAUGGUAUGAACAUGUUCAAUUGUACGUGUACCCACACGCACUCUACUCUACUUUUAUGAAUGCCUAUAAAAGACUUGGCCGAUAAAUUUUGAGACCCAUCAAGUUUUAUUAUUUGGCAACUUUGUUUCCAGAGCCUCGCCUCAUGAGUUAGUAUAUUAUUUGUUUCACCAAAAACAAGUAUGAUUUUUAAGUAGUCAUGCAAAGAACCUCAUUGCAUUAGGCCAAUCCUAGGUUUUAGAGAUUUUAAUCUUAUUAAUAGAUGUCACAUAAGCAAACGUAACAAUAUGGUAAGGAAUUUACAAAGAGAGAUAAAAGAUGGGUUUGAUUUUGAUGACACCCGGUAAAAAAUGUUUUAAGCGUGUGAAAACAUAUUCAAAACUGCCAUUGAGGACUCGAGAGCUUCAUUUCAUCUAACUGUGCUAGCAUUCUAACUAUGCUGAAUCCAAUGCAUCGUAACUUAAUGUGUCCGUCUCCAUUAACAUUUAACCCAUAACAUUAAAAACGAGGCGGUCACACUAUAAGGCCCACCUUCAUAAAUCCAUAUUAAAAAAGGAGACGGACACAUUAAAAAGCCCGCUUCUAUUAAUCCAUAUCAACAGAUACGGUCGUCUUAAGGUGCCCGCCUUCAUAAAUCGAUUUUUGUAGACGGGCACACUAUAAGGCCCACCUUCAUUAAUCCAUAUUAGCAGAGACAAUCGUCUUAAGGUGCCCGUUUUCAUAAAUCGAUUUUUAAAGGCGGGCACAUUAUAAAAGCCCACCAUUAGAAAUCCAUAUUAAUGGAGGCCGUCGCCAUAAGGUGUCUGCCUCUAUAAAUUGAUUUUUGGAGGCGGACGCACUAUAAGGUCCGUCUCCAUAAACCAUCGUCCCUAUAAAUACAGGAAGUUAGAAUUUUUCCUUCACUUACUCUCCCUCUCUCAUUCUCUCUCUCCUUAGAAAAAGGUGGCCCCGCUCCCUCUCCACCGAGCGUCACGCGUAGGCCAAGGGAGGAAGGCCUCCCCCUUCCCAUCGACGGCUGUCCCUCCCUUUGGUGGCUCUCCCUCCCUCCCUCUUAGAUCCGGCAGCACAGGCGAUUCACCCUUCCUCAACUCGGAGGUCCAGUGGCAGCAAGGCAGCUCUCCCUCGAGAAGGCCACAAUAUGCCUUAAUCCUCUCUCUCUCUCUGAUCUAGGGCCACCCUUCACCUCACCUUCUCUAUCACAGAUCCAUGGCGACGACGACGACAAGCGGCUUCUCUAGCGGCGGUCUGCUCCUUCUCCUGAUCUCUCCCAUGGCGCGGUGACGGUGGAUUGGGUCAAUGGGGGCAGGUGCAGGCAACAUGAUCCAGAAGAUGGCUGGAUUCGACGAGCAGCUUCUAGAUCCAGCUAGCGGGCACAGUGGCAGUGUAGAUCUGACGUGCGAGCACACCGAUGGUGCAGAUUCGGCUAGCAGUGCCUGGGCUCGGUGGGCUUUUUUUUGUUUUUUCUGAUCAAUUAACCGAGGCAGGUGUUAUAAAGUGGCCACCUCCGUUAAAAUAUUAGUGAAGGCGAACAGUUAUAGUGCCCCACCUCCACUAAUCGUAUUAAUGGAGACGAUCGCUUUAUAGUACCCACCUCCGUUAAUACGAUUAAUGAAGACGGAUAGUGUGACCGCCUCAGUUAUCUAUCAAUUAACCGAGGCUUUUUAGGCCAGUCUCAAUGCAUAGUUUCAUGGCACAGUUAUCAAGAUUAUAAACUAGGUAACCGAGCUACAUGAGUUUCAUGGGGAUGAAACUCCUCUCUCAUUUGAUGAAACUCCUUCAUUAAUGAACCUGUCAAGUCAGCAUUUUUGCUUAUGUGGCACCCUAUUUAAUGUGCAUGACACUCUCAUGAAACAUACAUUGAGAUUGGCCUUAGGCCAGUCUCAAUGUAUGCCACAUAUACAAAAUUGCUGACUUGGCAGUGUCAUUAAAUGAAGGAGUUUCAUCAUAUGAGAGAGGAGUUUCAUCCCCUUAAAACUCUUGUGGCUCGGUUAUCUAGUUUAUAGUCUUGCUGUGUUAUGAAACUAUGCAUUGAGACUGACCUUAGAGACGGUUGGAUAGGCCCGCCUCCAUUAACUAAAAACAACCGUCUCUAUUAAAAUUUCUAUAAUAGUGGUUGUAUAAUAGAUUUAUUAGCUAGAGAAGUCAAGCUCGGAUAUCAUGAGGAUAAUAUCUGUCUGUGAAAGCUUCAACUCCUAUAAUCUGUGUCAGUCAAACUUUUUUUAAAUUUGACCAACUUUAUAGAAAAGAGUAUCAAUAUCUAUCACAUAAAAUAAGUAUCUUAUGAAAAUAUAUUCUAUGAUAAAUAAAGUGAUAUUAAUUUGGUACUAUAAAUCUUAGUGUUUUUUUUAUAAAAAUCCAGUCAAAGUUUUAAAAAUUUAACUUAUGACAAAUCUAGAAGUUGAAACUUUUAGGGACAGAGGUAGUUUGUUUUAUACAAAUCUGGGAAUGGUGUUGUUCCCUACGUCAGGUUACCUACUUUAUUUGCUUCCAAUAAUAAAACUAUACAGGAGGGUUGUUGCAAAAGGAAAAUACAAAGAUGGGCCAUAUGAUUCAUGAUUGGAUCUCAAGCAUGUGGAUAACCAACCACUUGCCUUUUCCUUCUUUUUGCGGGGAAUAUGAAUAAAUAUCCGGGUACACACAUUAUUGGCUUUUCUGCUGUCGAUAUAACAAAUGAAAAAUGUGACAUUUAACGUGUCAUGUUCACUUUAAGUUACCGCAUUAUUCCUGUGGAUUCAUAUUUUGAAAAACAGAGUUCCAUACCUGAUCUUGAAAAGCUACCGGCGGUGCAGGAGCUGGACUGGCAAUCAACAUGCUCCUUUCUCUUGGCCUACUACCUUUAAUUUCUGCCCUUGUGGCUACGACUGAAUUGAAUUGAGAGACUAGUGGCCUAAUAAUUAAUAGAGAUAGAUCUGUCUGGUGCACUGUGGCACGAGAGGCCGAGUCAGCUUCCCUUCCGUGUGGAUCCUGAGGUCCGGAGAACGCGAACGUGAACGUGGUAGACUGAUACGAGUUGCCCCUCACCACGAUUCUGUCGCUCGAUCUACAAGUUUCCUAGCUCCCGAUUACGUGUCUUUCUUUGGGUUCGUAGCCAGCCACUUAAAAUCAAAUACACCAGCAGUUGUUGCUUUUUCAUCAAAAGAAAAAACACACAAAAAGUCAAAAAGAUCUCAAGAGUCCGUUUUGGCAAUACAUUGGGGAAGCAUCUUCGUUCGUCUCUCUCGGAGCUUUUCUUCCGGUGGUCGACCUCAACCUAGCUACGGCCUACGGGUUCAUCCACUAGUUCACCUGCUCAAGCACUGCACCCGCAUCGCUCUGGAUACCGUUGCAGCGUCGCUUGGUGGAUCUCUCACCCGAAGAUGUCGUGCCGUGCUUUCUGCCGCUUCGCUUCACCGCCACGAGCCUACAUCACCACAAGGGAAACAAAACGAAACGAUCGUGUGCAGUACCUGUUAGAGAAUUAGGCAAUUUUCAUAUCAUUUUAAUUCCAUAAAUCAAGAUUAUGAUGAUGACAUAUAUAAUAUAAUUAAUCAUAUAAAUCAUCACCAUUGAACAUGUUCGUAACAAUAUGGAACAUGUGAUUAUUAAAAAUAUAAAAACAUAAUAUAUGAAACAUAAUAACAAGAUAAGACAUAUAUCUCAAAUCAAAACAGCAAUAAACAAGAGACUACAUGUUCAACGACGAAACAAAACUACUGAAACAUAUGGAAAACAGUAUAUCAAACGACGUGACAGAACCACUACACAACAGCAUAUGAAACAUUUUGAAUUAACCAGCGAAACAAGCAGACAUGACAUAGAUCUUACAACAUACCCAUAUAUAAGAUAGAAACUGAAAAGAUAUGGUAGAACACCAGGAUAGUAUGCGCAACAACAUGAAAACACUACUGCAACAUGUACGAACAGGAAAACGAAACGCAGCCGGAAGAUGAACGGAUCAUACCCUCCCAUGCGCUCCGAGGAUCCCGAUCCUUGACCAACUUCCAUGAUGUAGACGAUGAAGACGAUCUUUCCACCGGGAAGGAGAAAUCCGCCCGAACCAGCUUGAGGAAGACGAACAACAGCGAGGAAGAUGAACAACAACGAUGGAUUGGACAGUCGCGUAGUCGCUCCCCAAAAACCUAAUUAUCGAUCCCUCGUGCAAGGUCUCGAACGGCAAAGGCUUCGGAGGCAUCUGCCCUCUCGCUCGUCGCGCGGAGUUACGAGAUAGAGAUUCCUUCUUUGCAACAGGAUUGUGUUCUGAGUGGUGUGUUGUGUGUGUCCAAGGCCAGAGGCUCUUGUCCUCUUUAUAGCCUUGCGGCGGAGGAGGGAGGAGAGGAAGGGAUGGCAGCCGAAGAGACAAGCAACUGAUGAGUUUAACAUGGAGUUGAAACUCUUAUAAUUAGUGAGUGCUAAAACUUAACACACCACUACAUCGCACGCCUGCAUGCCUGGCUCCCCUCGCCUCGCCAUAUCCGGUACAACUCGUAGUAUUCACAGUUACAUACACAGAGUUUAUUUGAUUUAUUAAAUCUAAUUGAGCCUAGCCCAAAAUAAAUCCAACAAUCCCCACCAAACUCUAGGGUUUGUAAUAAUGAAGUAUUAGAAUCACAUUUCUUUGAUAUACUAGUGUUUCGAUGGAGAAUGUUAAGCUGAACAUCCAUCUAGAACAAGAGUUUCACCCACUCACAAUUGAACAAUGGACUAAGCCUUGAAUUGAUAGUUUUGUGCGGUAUGAGAUCUGCUCCAGUCCUUAGCUGAUACUAGGCUGCACGAGGCAUCCCUGCUAUUUUGAAGAAUAUAAAUCACACUUCAGUGCCUUUCAUGAGUAUUUAGGGAUUACCCAAGUCCCAUAGACUAUGACCAGUAGUCUGACUCAUAUUGGUGUACUCCUCAAAAGAUGUCUGUAGGACAAUAUCUCACUUUAAAAGACUCUUGGAAUACAUUAAGGUAAAUACCAUCCUGCCUUACAAAUAGGAAAGAUGUGCAUAGAAAUGAGUCAAGAAAGGGAUCUUUCCUCUCAAUCUACUACUAGCUUGUUUCACCACUCUACUUCACGGGAUCUCCGAUCACAUAGAGUAGGUUACCACUACAGUAGAUUUCACGUGGGUCUCAUACCCAUUUCUCUCAAUGCACUUUCUAUCACAUUGCGUGACAGACCCUUAGUGAAUUGAUCGGCCAGAUUAUUCGAUGUGUGGACAUAAUCCACCGUUAUAACUCCAGAGGUUUUCAGCUUUGUAACAAAUUUUAAUCUUCUUUUCACAUGCUUUGUAGACUUCAUGUUAUUCCUGGAACUAUUGACCUUUGUAAUCACAAUCUAGUUGUCAUAGUUCAUGGAGAUAGCUGGUAUCGGUUUUUCAACUACCGGUAAAUCCAUCAGGAGUUCACGAAGCCACUCGGCCUCAGCCCUAGCAGUGUCUAUUACUACGAGUUCUGCUUCCAUUGUAGACUUCGUUAUUGUUGGGCAUUUUUAACGUCACUACCAAAAGUAGACUUAGUUUUCUAAUUCUGAUAACGGCGCCAAAAAUGCCAAACCUGUCACAUCCAUAUUUAAAGAACAAAAUAGGAUGCAUAAAAGACUCAUAUGUGCCCCAGGGAAAACGUAUUUUUCUCCGGGCGCCUAGGGACUGCGGGUUAAUUGUGAAAUCUUCCAGGGACUCUUAAUCAAAAAGGCCGCCGAAGGGGUAUCUUCUAAUCCUAUCCCUUCAUCUUCGAUUGGACGGUCCACAAAUAGCAGAAGGGAGCCAGGCGGCGGCCGGCCACCUCCCAGAGCGCCAGCACGGUGGCCGCCAUGGGCGCCGCCGAGAACCUCGCCGGUAUUACUUCAACUCGCAAAUCCGUGCACCAAAAACCGAGCCAAGGACAUGGGAAGGUAGAGGAGAAGGUCGCGAGCUCACCUAGGCGCUGAACUUGGGCCGAGAGUGCGUAGAGGAGACGCGGCGCUCGCGGUGGCGGAGAAAGGCGCCGACGAGAUCCGAAUGCGCAGCUGCGUGGCUAGGGCUUGGAAAGAGCGCUCGGGUGGGGAAAACAAGGCAUGGGGCGUCGCGAGGAACUUUAUAGGGCUUCGGAUUACGCGCUAGGCAAGGAAAUCACGAAUCGAAUCCCAGGGAUUGGAUUCGGUAGUGGUGUGCCCGGCCUGAGUCCCGAUCCUUCACAGCUGGGGGAAGAAGGAAAGGGCACUGGCGCGUGGGUCCCGCGUCGCAGUGAGAGAAGGGGCAGGGCCUAGCCGUCGGCUGAAGAAGGAGGGGAGAAGUGGGCCGGGACGCGGGGGAGGGGAGAGGUGCGCGGUUGGGCCGGUUGGAGACCUGGGCCGCACGCGAGGAGGGAAGAAGAAGGAGGAGGCCGGGGGGGGGGGGUGAGGGGAGCUGGGCCUCGGCCUGGAUCCGAGGGGCUUUCUCUUUUUUUUUCUUUUUUUUUUCCAAUUUAUUUUUCCAAAGCCUUUUCCAAAGAGAGUUUUGAAUGCAAAAAAAAUUCUCACCAAAAACAAGCAUAGAAUAAAAUGUGUUCCAGCAUGAAUGCAAGACAUGUUUCUAAAACUUAUGAUAAAUUUUAAUUUGCACAAAAUUAUUUAUUUGCUAGAUUCAAAUGCUCACAAAAAUACUUAAAUAAUCAAAUUAAUCCCUAUUAAUUCAAAAGCAAAUUUUUGGGUGUUACAAAUCUACCCCUCUUAAAAGAAUCUCGUCCUCGAGAUUGAGCAGUGUACGACCCUCUCCAAUCAUCCUCUCUUUCCCCACUUGCUUAUGCCUCUUAAAACCAAUUCCAUUGCACUAGCAAAUUCAAUGUCUCUAGUCAAGUAGCAUACCUAGUAGCUUUUCUGAGAAAUCACCUGGAAAUUUAUUCAAUGCACGAUCCAGAAAAUCAAUAUCCUCAUCAGCUGGUUCACUGUAGCUGUGGGUGGAGCCUGUACUACUACAUCAACACUUAUUCUAUCUCCCUUUGGUGUUGUCACAACUACUACUUUCUCUUUGCACUUAAUCUCCGUAGAAUAUUUCUUCAUCCAAUCCAAACCCAAUAUCACAUCUAUGCCUGAGGUUCUCAUAACCAUGGGACUAACUGGGAAAUCUACCCCCCUUAAAGAAAGACUUGCUGAGGGGCAACAAUAUGAAACUGGUAUAGUCCCUCCCGGUGAGUUUACUAGCAUAUGGGUUUUCAAGGCAACUAGUGGUAUGCUAUGAACUCUAACAAAUGCUUGUGAUAUGAAUGUAUGUGAAGCUCCAGAAUCAAAUAAAACUGUAGCGGGAAUAGAGUUGAUACUGAACGUACCCAUCAUAAUCUCCGGUCUCUCUUGUACUGUCUCUGCAGCCACGUGGUUCACUUUUGCUCCAUUAGAAUUAGAUUUUUGAUUGUUGUUCUGCUGGUUGAACCUUUCCGGGCUAUAAGACAUGUGUCCUUCCUUGCCACAGUGAAAACACCUAGUAGGAGUAUUGGGAGCACUUCUCUUCAUAGAGGUGGCAUUUGAAUUUCCUGAGCGGGGAAUCUGCUGACCACUCUACUGUUGAUUAGGAUUACGCUGAGGUUGUUGGUUGCGAUCCCAUUGACCAACCGGUCCCUGGUACCUCUGUUGAUCGCCCAGCUGAGGGUUGAAACGUUGGCGGUUGUUGCCUCCAGAACCUUGUGCCAGCAUCCUCCUCUUCUUAUCCUGACCUUUGCGCAUGUUAUCUAACACAAUGGCACGGUUCACCAAAGGCUGGAAGGUAGGGUAGGUAUUUCCAUCCAGUUGCAAUCUGAGUUCAUAGUAAAGACAUUUCAUGAAGAGACGUUGUUUGUCAGUAUCUUCUCUGACUUCGUUUGGAGCAUAGCGAGCUAACUGUUCAAAUGUGUCAUGAUAUUCUGCCACAGUCAUGGAGCCCAUCCUGAGGGAUCUGAAUUCUUCUUAUUUGAGCUCCAUCAUUCCUUCAUUUAUAUGUCGAGCUCUGAAGUCUCUACAAAAUUCCAGCCAUGUGACAGGAGGAGCAUUGUUGGGACGAGCAACUUGAUAUGACUCCCACCAUGUCUGAGCUGCCCCCUGAAGCUGUCCAGAAGCAUACAACACCUUCUCCAAGUCAUUGCACUGUGCUAUGUUCAGUUGCCUCUCCACGGCACGUAACCAAUCAUCUGCCUCCAUAGGAUCAGCUGAGUGUGUAAAUACUGGAUCUUCCCUUCAUAAACUCCCCACGCUUAUCCCUCACAUGAACAGGUGGUGGUGUUGGUGGAGGUUGCUGCUGUAGGUGCUGCAUGAAAACGUGCAUCAUCUCAUUUUGGGUUUGCAUGAGUUCCUCCACAGUAAUUGGGUCAUUACCACCAUUGCCACAGCCUCUGCCUCUGCCUCUUCCCCUUGCUGCCAUAUGCAUUCCGAGGUAUAGAAACAUGUCUUAGUAGUGUCCAACAUGACAAUUACAAGAGGUAACAGAAUCUGAAAUUUUCUGGGUAACAUCCAACAUCAGCAGAUCAGAAAAUCAGUCAUAUCUUGAGUUCCAGAAUUCAAAAGGAUACAUGCUGUAUACCGUUGGAAAGAUAAAGAAAUUAUCUACAACUUUUAUUUAUACCAUCUUAACAUAUUCUGUCGUUAAAUGAGUCUAAACUGGGCAUAACAAAAACUGUUCCAGAAUUACAGACUGUGCAGAAACCUCAACUUUGAACAGCCAUAACUCCCAGAUCAUAACAGAUAAUGGUGUCACUCUUGCAGCAUUGGAAAGAUAUGAAAGUCUACUUGUUCCUAGAAAAAUUUGAUGAACAUUGCAUGAACAGAUUUUGAAUUACACCAGAUUUAUUGCAGACCGCUCCAGAAAACAGCAAAGGAGAGAAACAGGAUUUUAACCAAACCCAACUAUUUAGUUCAUUAAUCCUUAUGCCUUAGGCCUAUAAACUAAAUGAAAUUGUAGAGAGAAUCCACAAGAUCAUUACACUCAUUACAAAGAUCCAAAUCAAUCAUGAACAUAAUAACAAACCAAACCAAGCAUCAAAGAUUCACACUUCAAACAUUGCCUCAACUUGCGGUACUAUCGUUCUUUUCCUAUUAAGGGCAAAGAUCCUAAAACACCUAUCUCAAAGACGCCAGAAGGUGGUAAGAAAAGGUUCUAAAAGCAUAUCAAGCAAGGCGUGGGGAUGAGAACAAGUCUUUCAAACAAGCAACAAGGUGAAGAUGAAUAGCAAUGAAAAGGGUAUAGGAUAAGAGAAAAUAUCAAGGUUUAUAGAACAAGGAUUUUGUAGCAAUUUCAAAACCUUAAGACGACCAAUUUCUAACUAGGCUUGCGUCCGACAGUCAACAAAGCUUUGAUACCAAUUUGUCACACCCAUAUUUUAAGAACAAAAUAGGAUGCAUAAAAGACUCAUAUGUGCCCAGGAAUAGUCGCACACAUAAGUAGACAAAUCUCAAAUGUACCAUUGCAGUGUUUAUUACAUAGCAGAACAUAAUAAAUCACAUAGUCUUACACAAAAAUGAUAAUAAUAUUAAACAACGCUCUCGACGGAAGCUCCACACAGGGAUACUGUUGACUGGUUGACUCCAAACCUAGUACUCAUAACGGUAGUCCUCAUUCCAGUCAUCUUCAUUAUCAUAUCCUGAGGUGUUGGGAAAUUUGCAAGAGUGAGCACAUAUCGUACUCAACAAGUAUAACCAGGGGUUCAUGAGGCCCAAAUAGCUGACAUUGGUUUGACUGCAUUUAGCUUUUAAUAGUGGAUAGCAUGUUCAUAAUUAAAUAGCAAAAGUCAAGGUAGCAUAAAUAAUCCAUUAAUCACAUGAUCAAGUGUAAGCAUAAUUAAGCCAUAGCAUAAUCGAUAAUCAAAUGAACAUAACAACUUAACAAGCUCAUCAUCGUCGCAGCAAGAACCUCCAAGGCCGCUCUUAACCGUGAGCACGGCUAGUAUACUAGUUUUAACACUCUGCAGAGGUUGUACAUCUUUACCCAUGAGUCAUGAUUUUCCCUUUCGCCCGAGGUAGCUAAUCUCUUAACCCCCUUCCAAGGGAGGUCGACAGGGAUCACUAUGAAGCCUUUCAAAAGUUCGUCUAACAAGUUAGGGCCGCAAGGUUUCCUUCGCGCGCAGAUAUAGAGCCCCCCUUCCGAUGGCACAAUGACUCGCAGCCUAUACACAUACAGACAGAGGCCACACUAUACCCAAAACGGUUCAGCCCCUCCGCCCUUUCAGGUAACCUCUAACAAGCUAGAAAAGGUCUUCAUACUGAGCUAAAGCCAGAGCCAUUAUAGCCCUCAUGGUUGCACUGUUGUCCCGGUGAUCACUUACAGACAAGAUCUCAUAUAGUUAUUUGUCAUCAUUUAACAUUCGUUGCAUAGCUAUUAAUCGUCUUACAAGAUCAUGGAUUAUAUCAAGCACUAGCACAUCUACACCAAAUGCAUAUCAAGUAGGUAGCAAGGAAUCCAGGUAACAAUCAUCUAUGAUUUUGCUAAGGUCGACAAGUUGAUAGCAUGCAUAUGAUAUAUAUGUGUAGUUAUAAGUUAAUAGGUAACAAGGAUGAUCCCAAGUUAUACUUAUCUUGAUCAAAGCUCUCCUGAGCCUGCUGGUCCUCAAGUCUUGGUCUUGAUCACCAACGUACGGCUGACCGUCUAUUCCCAAAUAUCAAUCAACAACACGCAAUCCAACGUAGACAAUCAUACAUGAAGCAAACAAGCUAUAAUUAGAACAAUACACCAAACAGUAGUAAAACAAAUUUAACAGUUUAUCAAAAUAUUCUACGCAGCGCUACGAUCACAUAAACGUAAAGUUCACGAAAAUCGGAAUUAAAACAGAGAAGUUAUGCAUUUUCCAAGAUUUCCUAUAGAGAAAUAAUUAAUUAAAUGCUACUGCGAAAAUAAAAAGUUUCUAAACAGUAAAAUAGUACCUCUAACUUGUAAAGCACGUAAAUACGAAUCUAACAAAAUUUGAAUGGACAAAAACGGAGUUAAAAUGAAUAUUUUAUGAACAAUUUAAGUUCAGUGGCAAAACUGUAAAUAACAGAAAACGAAAUUUGAACUCAGCCGGGCUGUACGCUUUCGAAAUUGGAAAACGUAUUUUUCUCGAGGCGCCUAGGGACUGCGGGUUAAUUGUGAAAUCUUCCAGGGACUCUUAAUCAAAAAGGCCGCCGAAGGGGUAUCUUCUAAUCCUAUCCCUUCAUCUUCGAUCAGACGGUCCACAAAUAGCAGAAGGGAACCAGGCGGCGGCCGACCACCUCCCAGAGCGCCAGCACGGUGGCCGCCUUGGGCGCCGCCGAGAACCUCGCCGGUAUUACUUCAACUCGCAAAUCCGUGCAACAAAAACUGAGCCAAGGACAUGGGAAGGUAGAGGAGAAGGUCGCGAGCUCACCUAGGCGCUGAACUUGGGCCGAGAGUGCGUAGAGGAGACGCGGCGCUCGCGGUGGCGGAGAAAGGCGCCGGCGAGAUCCGAAUGCGCAGCUGCGGUGGCUAGGGCUUGGAAAGAGCGCUCGGGUGGGGAAAACAAGGCAUGGGGCAUCGCGAGGAACUUUAUAGGGCUUCGGAUUACGCGCUAGGCAAGGAAAUCACGAAUCGAAUCCCAGGGAUUGGAUUCGGUAGUGCUGUGCCCGGCCUGAGUCCCGAUCCUUCACGGCUGGGGGAAGAAGGAAAGGGCACUGGCGCGUGGGUCCCGCGUCACAGUGAGAGAAGGGGCGGGGCCCAGCCGUCGGCUGAAGAAGGAGGGGAGAAGUGGGCCGGGACGCGGGGGAGGGGAGAGGUGCGCGGUUGGGCCGGUUGGAGACCUGGGCCGCGCACGGGGAGGGAAGAAGAAGGAGCAGGCCGGGGGGGUGAGGGGAGCUGGGCCUCGGCCUGGAUCCCAAGGGCUUUCUCUUUUUUUUCUUUUUUUUCUAAUUUAUUUUUCCAAAGCCUUUUCCAAAGAGAGUUUUGAAUGCAAAAAUAAAUUCUCACCAAAAACAAGCAUAGAAUAAAAUGUGUUCCAGCAUGAAUGCAAGACAUGUUUCUAAAACUUAUGAUAAAUUUUAAUUUGCACAAAAUUAUUUAUUUGCUUGAUUCAAAUGCUCACAGAUUAAUACCGAUGUAGCAUUUCAACCGGGAAGUAUUGCAGGUAUCGUUAUUUAUAUUUUUACCACUGGGAAGGGAUUGCUAAACAUCAAUGUUGAUUAUGGAAUGGAAUAUAUAAUUGAGUAUCUAUCAUUGCAUGUAUAAUUGAGAGUAUUUAUCUAUCUCUUUCAUACAGGGAUAAAUGUCACAUAAAAGAUAGAAAAAAUAUGAAUGGUGACAAAGAUAAUUAAUCUGAUAAGCAUAACUAGCCACAUAUAAAUAUGAUAAGCACCUCAACAGAUAUUCUAGCAAGUCAUUAGCAUGGAAUUAGGACGAACUACAAGAAUAUUUCCUAAGUUAUUCUUAACUAUAAAGUCUAGCAUAUCAUAGUUAGUGCAAUUAUACUUGGCAAUCAUUACGAGACAGGACUACGCCCAUGCAUAGUGAUAUUAUCAAAGAAUAUGAGAAACAUAGCAAUCACUCCCCUGUAAUAAUGUUGCUCUACCAGCCCUAUACACGAGAGGGGGACUAUAUAAGAAUCAAUUGAGCUGUCACUACCACGAACUACCCCGUGAUCUGGCAUAUAGGGUACAAUCGCAGAUAAAUACGGUAUAGGCACCACACCUACACAAUACUUAUCAUUUACCCACUGUACACAUGGAUAAAUGCUAUAUGAUCCUAAACAUGUUUAUAAUUCCAAUCUAACUAAGCCAAGCAUAUAACUAUGAUAAACUAAGAAUAAUAUAAUUGCGAAUAUAAACAAGUAGAGCAAAGUCAUAAUCAAUAUAUUGAAGUAGAACAAAGUCAUAUUCGUAAUAUUGAAGAACAAAGAUAAACAAUUGAAGAACAGUAGAGGAAUUACCAAGAAUCCUCUUGACAGAUCCGGAAACCAAUCGAAGAUUGACUCCUUCUAGUUCUAAUCCUAUGUAGCUAUGCUAAACUAGAGAUCUAAUUGAUGUGGUGGCUCUAGGGCUUGAUCAGAGGCUUCUUCUCCUACGAUGAAUAAUGAAUUAGGGUUUCUGAGGGAUAGAGGUCCUCUCCUCCAGGGGCCAGGGGGUCUGUUUAUAUAGUCCUUCCAAGUGAAUGUGGGCCAUCGGAUCAAACCGACAUUAAUCGCACGGUUUUCCUUGAUCCCUUAGGUCAGCGGAGCAUGAUCCGCGAGGUUGGUUGUGAUUGGCCCUCAGGCCAGGGCGGGCGCCCAAGGGGGGAGGGUGGGCGCCUGUUGACGGUCCUUAAUGCUCAUAUUUAACCGUCAACUAAUCAUAGAAAAGGAUCCAAAUGCAACCAACACCUAGACUUAGGGUUUUAUCUGACAGAAUUCCAUGAGUUUUGGUGUUUGUCUAUUUCUGCAGGGGGUUAUCAGGAAAUACGGAAGAAAGGCCCACACGUCGGGUUUACAUAGAGAUAUUAACGUGCCGCACAAUUUUCUAUCAUCUAGAAGACUCCAGAAGCCACGGGACCGAAGCGGAGGCCGAGAGGACUCAGGGACAGGGCGCCCGCCCUCCUCUCCUGGGCGCCCGCCCACACAUAGAGUCCAAUCAGGACUCUCUUUCGGGAUAUUGCUCCACCGACCUAAAGGAUCAAGGAUAACCAUUCAAUCAAUGUCGGUUUGAUCCAACGGCCCAUAUUCACUUGAAGGGACUAUAAAACCAGACCCCCCUGGCCCCUGGAGAUCAUACCUCUUCUACAGAAUCAAAGCUAGGGUUUCAAUUCUUCAUCCAAGUAGAGAGGAUCCCUCUAGUUCUUCUAGUUCUACCUCUAGUUCAUCUAGAUCUAGUUCUAGUUCAUCUAGUUCUAGUUCUAGUUCCUCUAGUUCUAGUUCUAGUUAGUUCUAGUUGUAAUCUAGAAAAUAGGGAGAGAGAAGAGGAGAGCGGAGGAGGAGCCGGAUCUGUCGGAUCUUCCUCAACAUUAUACUUUUGCAGCAUCUGGUUCAUUCUUCAUCGUUCUCUAGGUUCUUCAAUUCAUAAUUCCUGAGUUCUCUAACUACUUUUAUUUACAUUCAAGUUAUUUAUUGGAUUCCCGCUUGCAUCAAGUGCUCUAGUCUUUAUAACGCUAGAGUAGUAAUUAAUAGAUUAGACGUGGUGUUUAGUCUUGUAAUUACCUGGAAUUGCACCCAAUCCUGCGGAUUGUUGUGGUAGCCUUAGGGUAGUGACAGCUACUGAGAUACUGGAAACUCAGGCAAUCACUGCCCUGAGAUGCUUGAGGACGUAACUACUGGAGUAACCCCAUUGUGGAAGUAAUUACUAACCUUCUGCCAGUCAAGAGAGGCAAUCCAGGACGCCCCGUCAUCCCGAUCUCCAUCGGCAUGGUGGACUUCCCAGAAGCACUCUGCGACUUUGGCUCCAGUGUCAACAUUAUGCUCAGGGUACUCUAUGAAAAAUUCUUUACACAUCCUUUAUUAGAAACAGUCAUGUGUUCGCAGCUUGCAGAUCGUACGCUAAGUUUCCCAAAGGGAAUAUUGAAGAACUUCUGCGUCCAAGUUGGUACCUUGUAUGCCCCAGCAGCCUUCGUGGUGAUAGAGACCGGUUCUGAUGAGAGGGCACCCGUCAUCUUAGGGAGGCUAUUCCUGAACACCUCGGGAGCUGUCAUCUACGCUAGUGCUGCCAAGAUCAGUUUCUACAUCAAGGGGAGGAAGGAGACGUUUUCCUUUAAGAACAAGACUACACAAAUCUCAAAGCAAUCCCGACAUGAACCAAGGAAGAGGAUCAACAGGGGGGACAUGAACAAGCAAAUGUUGACUGAGUCAGCUAAGAUGGUCACUACAGCUCAAGGAGGUCAAGAUCGUCAACUCAAGUCGCCUUUCUUGAUCAAGUAGGACGACCCUAGUGUUCCAAGCAUCGAGUGCACAAUCAAUGGAUAUUCUUUUCAGAAGACACUCUACGACACUGGAUCUGACGUCAACAUAAUGGCCGCAGUCACUUAUCAGCUCCUGUUCGGAACCAUGCCCCUAAAACCGACAUACACUCAGCUCCAGAUGGCAGAUCAAACAUUCCGAAAGGUUGAAGGUUAUUGACAUAGGAGAAGACGAGUACGAUCCACCCAUCAUCCUUGGAAGACCGUUCCUCAGCUCCGUUAAAGCAAUCAUCUACAUUGGAACCGGAGAAGUCCACAUGCACUUCCUCUCUGAGAAGGUACGCCGCUAUUUUACUCACUCUAACUAUAUAGUUGAAGACUCUAAGCAGGUCAGGACAAGAAGGAGACGACGCAACCGCAAACAGAGAAGGCAAAAUCAUCAAGGACGAAUGAGUAGACUAUGAAGGAGAAGUUGUAAGGUCUGAAGACAUACAGCUUGAACAGAACUGUCCUGAGGAGACCGUAGCACCGAGUCAGGUGUGUAGAGAGAAGAUAGUUAUACACGAAGAGGAGGCACCGCCGGAACCACCGACUACGCCAUCCAGCAAAUCCCAGGACGAGUGAGAAUACGGAGAGUCCCGAUCGGAGGACUUAAACACACCGAACACCUUUCCAAGAGGUAAAUUUGGUAGUUAUCUUUUUCCUUCCAAUUAUUUAAAAUAGUUUGUUUAGUUAAUCAGGUUCAUAUCAUCUUGAAAAGAAAAUAAAAAUGUUAAAAAAUAGUAAGCCUCAUGUGAGUAUGCUCAUGGCAUAAAACCCAUAAGUACAUUCACUGUGGUGGCAUAAAAAUAAAAUAAAUAUAUUCCUGUCUUAUAAAAAUGGAAAUAUAAAAAUAGAUUUAUGAUCCCACCAAAGAAAGUAAUAUUUAUUGAGGAGGCUCAACAUGGUAAAGGCUAGAUAUUUAUGUUAACACUUAACUAGUUCCACAAAGCUUUGUUGUCUAUUUGAGCUCUACAGAAUUCAAGGAUCAAAGAAGACUAGCAGACGGAGGACAUCCUAAUCGCUGUCAGGGUGCUGCCAACAUUCAAAUACACCUCCGCCACUUGCUAGCUACAUCAGAAGGAAUUACGUCAAAACCCAGCUUGGGGGAGAGCAACCCCAUUUAUCCAGCUAAGUGCUCUACUCAUGUUUAUAUUUUACUCAAAUAAUAAAAAGAUGCAUAAUCAUAAAAACCCAAAUAAAGAUUUUGUGCUUAUAUAUAUAUAUCUUUGCUUAGCUUGCUAAAUAAAUAAAUAAAUAAAGUUUGCUAUGAACCCUCAUGAUAAGCUCUCACAUGGAAAUGAUGAAUAGUUGCUCUGCCAUGAUUAGUUCUAGAAAUUGAAAUCUCUCUCAAGUUUAGGCAUGACUGGUAUUAAUUAAGAUUUGCUCUAAACCUGAACUUGUGGGAGAGUACUUGAUCUAAAGUCCAAGUCGUUAACAGAUACGAUAUGGGAAGGUUGAACUGUUGUUUAUAUGUUCCUAGAGAUGCUAGAAUUCUGGAGAAUUUUAUCAUUGAAAAUCUUUAAAAUAUCACAUGAUGAGUUCCUCUAUGAUGAGAGUUUAAAUUCCUACCACAACCAUAUAUACUUGCUUGCUAGACUUUGAGCCACACAUUUAUUUUUUACUGCUUAUGAGCAUUGAGUGUGGUCAAGCUGUGUAGACCCUUAGGAGCUUGUCAUGUGGUUAAAAUCAAGAUUCACUUGCACGUUCACUCACACAUGCUGCUUCUACUCCGGAAGUACGCAUCCACAUAUAUCCACCCAUUUCCAUCUCCAGAAUCACCUAAAACUAUUCUACUCCUAAUCCAGGAGAGAAUAGCCAAAAACAUUUCUGUUUUCCCUGUGAAAUAAAUGCUCAAGUUAUCUUGGUUACUACCACUUGCUAUAUUAUUUUAGGAGAUGAGUGCUCUAAAAAAAGAGAAAAAAAGAAAGAAUACGAGGAAAUAAAAAGGGGCAAGUGCCCGGAACCUCGAAAGAAAAGAAAAAGUGAGACGAGAGGUAAAAAUGGACAAGUGUCCGACAGUAGAAUUAGGGGUACAAGAUACCCACCUGAGAGGAAAGAAAAGAAAAUAUAGAGCAUCUCAUUCUCCUCAAAAAGUUUCAAAAGAGCAAGAAAGGUAUGUAUCCCCUCAAAAGAGCACAAGUAGAAUUAGACUUUCACCAUUGUUAUCACCAUCAUUACCAUACACCAUUCAUUCGCCACACAUGCACAUCUUGAUUUGACUUAUUGACUUGAUCUUCUGGAUCCAUGGUUUGACUAUGCAAUAAAUGUCUUGUAAGUAUGUAUUAGCUGUCUCCCACCUAUGAGCUCCAGAUAUCAAAACCUUAUUAGAGUAGGGUGAGAGAGAAGGCAAUGCCACUAUGCCUCGUACCAAAAAUACCACAUACUUUGAGAGAAGGCAUACACCAUUACUUCCUUGGUAAGGAUCCAGAAAUACCACAAAAGAGAGACUAAAGAGAGUCAUACAAGAAAUCUCUGAGUUUUAUUUGAAAAUCUACAAAAACUCGAAAGCUAUAGUUAAUUGAAGAACAAGAGACAUGGCGCUUGACUAGACCGUUCUAUCUUUUAACUGCUCAAGACACAAGUGACGGUUGCAAGCCCCAUGGUGGAAGGUGCAAUGGGUAAGUUUAAAUCUUAACAGUUUACCCUAACCCAGAGAUGAGAUCUUGUUUGAACGCAUGUAUAUCUUUAAGGUAUGAAACCACUGCAGAAACUCUUGAGUCCAUCUUUGCUCAGGGACGAGGGAAGGUUAAUCUUGGGGGAGCUUGUUGACGGUCCUUAAUGCUCAUAUUUAACCGUCAACUAAUCAUAGAAAAGGAUCCAAAUGCAACCAACACCUAGACUUAGGGUUUUAUCUGACAGAAUUCCACGAGUUUUGGUGUUUGUCUAUUUCUGCAGGGGGUUAUCAGGAAAUACGGAAGAAAGGCCCACACGUCGGGUUUACAUAGAGAUAUUAACGUGCCGCACAAUUUUCUAUCAUCAAGAAGACUCCAGAAGCCACGGGACCGAAGCGGAGGCCGAGAGGACUCAGGGACAGGGCGCCCGCCCUCCUCUCCUGGGCGCCCGCCCUCACAUAGAGUCCAAUCAGGACUCUCUUUCGGGAUAUUGCUCCACCAACCUAAAGGAUCAAGGAUAACCAUUCAAUCAAUGUCGGUUUGAUCCAACGGCCCAUAUUCACUUGAAGGGACUAUAAAAACCAGACCCCCCUGGCCCCUGGAGAUCAUACCUCUUCUACAGAAUCAAAGCUAGGGUUUCAAUUCUUCAUCCAAGUAGAGAGGAUCCCUCUAGUUCUUCUAGUUCUACCUCUAGUUCAUCUAGAUCUAGUUCUAGUUCAUCUAGUUCUAGUUCUAGUUCCUCUAGUUCUAGUUCUAGUUAGUUCUAGUUGUAAUCUAGAAAAUAGGGAGAGAGAAGAGGAGAGCGGAGGAGGAGCCGGAUCUGUCGGAUCUUCCUCAACAUUAUACUUUUGCAGCAUCUGGUUCAUUCUUCAUCGUUCUCUAGGUUCUUCAAUUCAUAAUUCCUGAGUUCUCUAACUACUUUUAUUUACAUUCAAGUUAUUUAUUGGAUUCCCGCUUGCAUCAAGUGCUCUAGUCUUUAUAACGCUAGAGUAGUAAUUAAUAGAUUAGACGUGGUGUUUAGUCUUGCAAUUACCUGGAAUUGCACCCAAUCCUGCGGAUUGUUGUGGUAGCCUUAGGGUAGUGACAGCCCUAACGGUCGUCGUAUUCCACCUCGUUCGGAUCGGUGUUUGUAGGACCGUAGUCAGACCUUCCUAGCCCCCUUCUCAUCUCUUUCUGUGGUUAGUGCUCUGAUGUCCCGAAAUAGAUAAUCUUGAAGUAAUUCUUGAUUCUUAGAUCAACUAGAGAACUCUCAGGAAACUUCCUCUCUUCCCACCAAAAAUAAUUAUAUAGUUAUCCUUGGGCGAUCUUGGAUCUUAAUUAGUACACUCACGUUCUCUGUGGAAAAUCGAUACUCUGGAAUACUCCCGGGUGAAAGCUACAUCGGUAUCCGUGCGCUUACGGAUUUUUCUGUUUGCGUUUAAAAUAUCCAACAACGCCCUGCCCUCGGGCCCGAUCGGCCUCUCGUUCGUUCCCGUUGCUUCUGGACUCUUCUAGAUGUUAGAUAAUUGCGCGGCACGUUAAUAUCUCUAUGUAAACCCCACGUGUGGGCCUUUCCUCCAUAAUUCCUGAUAACUGUAACACCCAAAAAUUUUACUUAUUUAAAAUAGAUGAAUUGAAUUUAAAUGAAUUUAUUUUGUGAGCAUUUUCACUAUAGGAAAAUAAAUAAAUUUGGAGAAAUUAAAAUUUGAUAUAAGCUUAGAGAAAACUUUAUUGUUGCAUUCAUGCUGGAGCAUUCUUUUAUGUGAUGAGUGUUUUGAAAACAAAUGUCAAUUUGAUUAAAAAUCCAUUUGGAAAAUGCAUUGAAAUUUUGUUUAAAAAUAAUAAUAAUAAUAAAAAAAUUCUCUUUCCCUUCCUCUUUUCGGCCUGGAGGCCCAGUAACCCCCCCCCGCGCGCGCGUCCCUCUCUCUGGGCCGAGGCCCGCCAGCCAGCCGCCUUCCCCACCCUUCCCCUCUCUCUCUCUCUCUUCCGCUGACAGGCCGGGCCCGCAUGUCAGCUCCUCCUUCCCCAAACCGCCGCCCACUCCUUGCUUUCGGUUUCGAACCGAUCGGCGCCUCGCCCGCUCCCACGUUCUCUCCCACUCCUCCCCUCUUCCCCCGCGCUCAGUUAAAAAGUGGGCAGGGAGUCGCGCGCCUCCUUCCCCUCCCCAUUCCUCCUCUCCUCGUUUCUGCUCCCAUCCGCGAAAGCGCAGAGAGAAGCCGCCGUCCCGAGCCGUUUUCGUCGUUUCGCGUCGCGUUGGUGAGCUUCCCACUCUUCCCCGCUCCCUCCCCGUCCUUUUGCCGUGCGAAACGGGGUUCUUUAGUGCCCACCCGCGCUCGCCGGAGAGCUCCAUGGCCGCCGGCCAUGGAGUGAGCCGCUCGGCCCUUCCCCGGCCGCAUUUUUAGCCCGGGGUGAGUUCGCUUUCGCAUCCUCUCUCUCCCGGUGCUUUUGGAUCGCGAAACCGAGCCCCGUAGCUCUCUGCAGGCCAUCGCCGGCGAGCUUGGGCCGGCCAGCAAUGGCCGCCGCCGCGCUCUUCCUCCCCUCAGGCCGGCGCGCCGCUCCCUUCCCCCCCUCUGUGUUCUUCUUUCUAAUCUCGCGCGUCCGAUUCCAGAUCAACAACCCUCAUCGCACCGUACCCCUUCGUGGGUGAAUUUUGCUUAAGAAACCCCCUGGAAUUUAGGUUUCGAACCGCAGUCCUUAGCGCCUUCGAGUGAAUUACGCUUUCUCUGUUAGAAAACGUAUUAUCCGUCGGUUAGGUCAAAAUACGCUUUCAGGAAAUUACAGAUUUGCCACUGAACUUGUUUUGGCCAUAAAAUAUUCGUUAUAGCUCCAAUUUGACCCGUUCGAAUUGCGUUAGGUUCGUAAUUAAAUUCUCUUCAUGAUAGUACUACUGUUUCUGUAGUUUGCCACUUUUUAUUUUUAGGGUUAGGUUUAAUUAAUUAAUUGCCUAUAGGAAAUCGCCGAAAAGUCGUAACUUGGUCGUUUUAGCUCCGAUUUUCGUGAUCUUCGUAUCUAUGUGAUCGUAGCGAAUCGUAGGUUCUGUUUUUAAAUAUUUUAUUUCAUUUUUGAUCUGUUGGUGUACUGUUCUAAUUAAAUGAUUGUUUGUUUGUAUGAAUGAACUUGGAUGCGUGUUGUUGUGUGGUACCAAUCGAGCGCAGACGGUGACGUGUCCGUGGGUGACCCAUUUCACUUCGAGGAGCAGCAGGACCAGCAGCAGUUCCCCUUCACCGAAGGCAAGUAUAACAUGGGUUUCCCUUGUACACCUAUUCACUUAAUUAAUUACGCAUUUGCAUGUGUCUAAUUUUGAUAACCCUAAGGACAUCCUAGCUACCUGACUAAACACUUAUGACACCUAUGGGAAGAAUGCAUGUGGGUAGCUUUGCUAGUGCUUUAAUUAAUUGAGACUUUAUUAUCACUCUGACUUUAAUGAAUAUGAUGAUAAAUGUUGGGAAAAAGGGCUAUGGUGCAAUUGACUUCGGUCGGGUUGACCUAGACCCUCCGUAAGGACUUCUCUGUAAGCGACAAUCCGGGACUUACAGUGCAACCGUAAUGGUUAUAUGGCUCUAACUUUAGCUCAGUAAUAGGAUAUCAUCUAGCUGGUUAGAGGUUACCCGAAAGGGCGCAAGAGGGGCUUGCCACUUUGGGUAUAGAACUGCUUCUGUUCCUAUGUGUAUAGCCGUGAUGGAAAUGUGCCAUAGGAAAGGGGGGUUCUCUAUAUCUGCCUGCCGAGGAAACCUCGCGGCCCUAACUGGUUAGACGUGGCCUAUGGAAGGCUUCAUAGUGUUCCCUGCCCGCUCACCUUGGCAGUGUUAGUGGGUCUUGCAAACCCCGGGCAUAUGGGUAACACGACAUACGGGAAAAGUGCACACCUCUGCGCAGAGUUUGAUCAAACUGGUAUACUAGCCGUGCUCUCGGACAUGAGCGGCCUUGGACCCUUACGGAAUAGUUGGGUGUGGAUAGUUAUGGGAAAUAACUUAUGAAAAUCUGACGCAUUGAUCGUGAUGAUUAAUGUGGUUUAACCGUGAUGGUGAUGGUGUUAGCCGUGAAGGUUAACAGUGUUAUUAUCAUGUGCUCAUUUGGGCUAAUCGGGAGCUUAAGCAUAAUUGAUGAUUAAAUAGGAUUAAAACAUUGACCAAUUAAAAUGCUAACUGCAGUAGCCAGUGUUUGACCUUUUUGAGCCGCAUAAAAUCCUAUGUUAUGCUUGCGGAGUACGGGAUGUACUCACGCUUGUCUUUUUCUUUCUUUUUGGACAAAAUCCCGGAUGGGUAUCAGAUGAUAGCUUCUACGAGGAAUUUCCUGAGGACUUCUAGGUUGGCGAUCCUCCAGUCGGUCGUCCCUGUGUUGGAGCUUUUAUUUCAUAGCUAGUUAUGAGUUAUAUUUUCCGUUUGUCGCAGACUUUGAUAUAUUUGUGUUGUAAUAACGUUAUGUAAGAAACUUGUGAUGAUACAUUUGUAAUUUGUCGACUUGUGUGCGCGACUAUUCCUGGGGCGCACAUGAGAUUAUUGUACUCAAAUUUAUCCUUAAAUUUGGGUGUGACAAAAUUGGUAUCAAAGCAAGGCUGAUUGUAGGACGCAAACCUAGGUAGAAACAGUUGAUUUCAGGUUUUUUAUUUUCGCUUUAUUUAUUUCACUGCUCGCUUUACUUUCUUGUUAUUUUAUUAAAAUUAUAUAUUCUUACCCACUGUUCUAUUUUUGUAAACAUAUUGAUUCUAAUUCUUAAAAUAAAAUUUAUAGAUGCCUCGUCGCAGCGCAGCCGCGUAUCGCGCCCUCUUCGUCGCCGCCCGUGCUCCGCCAGUUGCACCAGCACCAGCUCCAGUACCUGCACCUGUGCCAGCACCAGUACCCGUACCAGAGCCCGAGGUCGUCGCCUCUGGUGGCGGCGAGGAGGAGGAGCCUAUGGACACGGGGUCCCCUACGCCUACACCUUCAGCUCCUACACCAGUGGCGGUACCAAUCCCUCAGGCUGCCGCUCCAGUUCCACCUGCGCCUGCACCACCUGCACCUGCACCACCUGCGCCUGCACCCCACGCGUCGACGGGUUUAGCACCGACGCCUCAGUACCCACAGGUUGUUCCAGAGAUGGGAUGGACCUCCAGGAACAAGUUCAUGGAGGCGGACGAGGACGCUCACUACCACACUCUGCUCACGGGUGUGUUGGCGAGCUAUUACCCGGAGUUUGCUGCCACCGUCCGCUACCUUUGCUCGGAGCACAAGCACCCAUUGGAGAACACCUACUGGAAGGCCGAGGUGAUCAUCACAGCUCGGAACAACGUCGACAACUCGGACGAGGUGGAGUCUAUCCACGAGAGCAGGGUUAGACGUGCUUCCGCCUACGAGAGCAUGGAGGAUGCAGGUCAGGCCGCGUACUUUCACUACCAUGGCCGCCGUUUUGAGGCCAUGCAGGAGGAUAGGUACCGGUUCCUUCCCCGCAACGACCCAGAUGGCAGGACAUGGCAUGUCCUGGCACCUCCUGCCGGUGACCCUACCCUGGAUACGACUGUGAGACACGUCAGUGCCAUUCAGGAGAUGAACGUGACACUGAGGCAGGAGCUGUGUGUUGCGCAGCAGGCGGGGAAGCGCCUCCAGCGUCAGGUGGAUGAGCUGCGUGGUCAGCUUGGACAGCCACCCAUCUACAAGAAGAAGCCCCGCAAGUUCGUUCUCCAGGAUAGAGCUCCUUAGAUUUCCCAGUACUUUCUAGAUUGACGCUAGCACGAGUAUUUCGGUAAUGUGUGGCAUGUGAACUUUAGUGAGUUGCUGUUUGUGUUGAUGAACAAUUAUGAUUUGGAGUUUUGUUUGAUUGUGGAAACAUGUGGGCCUGUCCGCAUGUUUCUAAACCUUAAUCCUAGAAGUAAAUGUUGUUUAAAUUCGAGGUUGGGUUACUUUAUCUUGUCUCAGUCAUGCUGUUUCUGGAGCGGUCUGUGAUGUUUAUUCAGUAUCUCAUUAUCAGUUCAGUCAAAAAUUGCGAAAUUAUUAUGGUGAAAACUAGACUGGUAUAUCUUUCAUCUCCCACUGGAAUCACCUCAUUAUCUGUUCGGAUCUAUGAGAUAUGUUCGUUUUAAUCUGCUGUACCUGCGCAGACUGAGAACCAGAGCAGAACCUGAUGAAUCACAAUUUUGAUUAUGUUACUGUUGGAAUGAGUAAAUGUGGUCUGAAUAAAGUUUGUAGAGAAUUUCCUAACCAUUCCAACGAUGUAUACCAUGUUCCUUUUUAAUCUAUAGAUUCUGAGAUAAGCACGGAUUACUGACCUGCUGAGUUUGAAACUUGUCCAGAAAACUGCUAGACUUGUUUUUAUUCAUUAUAAGCGAUGAAUAAUUAUUUUUGGAAGAUGACUAAAAGCCGUGAAUCUUUGUUGGAAGCAGAUGGACGCCGAAGGAGCACCCGCUGGUCGUGGACGUGGCCGUGGCCGUGGUCGUGGCCAUGGACGUGGUGUACCUGAGAAUCCACCACCACCACCGCCGCCGAUGACUAUCGAGCAGCUCAUGGGUAUGCAAGCUAAUCUGAUGCAAGCCAUGAUGAACCGUAUGAACAAUGAACCAGUAGUAGCACCACCGCCGGUUCAAGUCCGUGACAAGCGUGGGGAGUUCUUGAAGGGACGUCCCCCGGUGUUCACCCAUGCCUCUGAUCCACUGGAGGCAGACAACUGGUUAAAAGCAGUCGAGAAGCAGCUGAACAUAGCCCAAUGCAACGACCUGGAGAAAGUGCUAUACGCAUCAGGUCGGCUGCAAGGACCUGCACAGGAGUGGUGGGAGUCCUAUCAAUAUGGACGCCCGAACAAUGCUCCGCCAGUCACCUGGAAGGAGUUUACGGAAGGGUUCAGGUCCCAUCAUAUUCCGGAGGGCCUGAUAGAACUGAAAGCGGAAGAGUUCCGGUCUCUCAAGCAGGGAUCGAUGUCAGUCAGUGAAUAUCGUGACAAGUUUGCUCAACUGUCACGAUAUGCUCCAUAUGAGGUGGCCAGGGACUCUGACAAGCAGCGUCUCUUCCUGAAGGGUCUGUAUGAUGGACUGCAGCUGCAGCUGAUGAGCAACACCUACCCUUGUUUCCAAGAAUUGGUGAACCGCGCUAUUGUCAUCGACAACAAGCGCAAGGAGAUGGAUGCAAAGAAGAGAAAGCUCCAGGGGCAGCCGUCGGGCAGCAACACUCGCCCACGUGCGUACCCUCAGCAGGGAUUCCCUCAGCGCAGUCAAGGACCACAGAAUCAGUGGAACCGUGGUCAGUUUCCUCAGCGUCCCCAGUACUACCAGCAGCACAAUCACCAAAACCAACAACGUCCCAAGCAGCAAUAUGGCAACCAGAAUCAGCAACGCCCCCAGCAACAGGUCAGCAAUCAGGCACCACGCCAAGGAGUACCCAAUAAUGCUCCUGGCAAGAGUGCAGCACCCAGCGGCAAUCCCAAUGCCUGUUACCGCUGCGGAGAGGUGGGACACUAUGCCUACCAGUGCCCCAAGAAGCAGAAUCCACCAGCCUAGCAAAACCAGAACAACAAUCAGAGGCCUGCUCGACCUCCGUUCUCUGGGAAAGUGAACCAUGUGUCCACUGACACAGCUCAGGAAGCACCUGAGGUUAUGAUGGGUACGUUCAACAUCAACUCCAUCCCUGCUACAGUACUGUUUGAUUCUGGUGCUUCACAUUCUUUUAUCUCCCAAGCUUUUGUUAGAGUGCAUAGCAUCCCACUUUGUGCACUGAAAAAUUCCAUGCUAGUAAAUUCACCGGGAGGCACCAUGCCAGCUAAUUACUGGAGCCCCUCCACUAGUAUAUCUCUAAGGGGGGUAGAUUUCAAGGUGAAACCUAUUGUGCUAAGAACCAUGGGAAUUGACCUCAUACUUGGUAUGGAUUGGAUGAAGCAGCAUGGGGCAGUAAUACAGUGUCAGGAGAGGGCUGUGGUGGUGACAUCACCAGGUGGGGAUAGAAUAAGUGUGGAUGUGGCAGUGCAGCCUCAGCCGACUGCUACAGUGAAUCAGUUGAGUGGUGGUAAUCAAGAAGACCAGGUGGUGGACGAGUUCCCCGAUGUUUUCCCGGAUGAGUUGCCAGGUAUGCCACUAGACCGAGACAUUGAAUUUCUUAUUGAGCUUUUACCUGGAACUGCACCCAUAGCAAAAAGACCAUAUAGAAUGGGGGUAAAUGAAUUAGAGGAACUUAAGAAACAACUUAAGGAAUUGCAAGAAAAAGGGUUUAUUCGUCCUAGUUCUUCACCAUGGGGUGCACCGGUAAUCUUUGUUGAUAAGAAAGAUGGCACUAGGAGGAUGUGUGUGGAUUAUCGGUCAUUAAAUGAAGUCACUAUUAAAAACAAGUACCCACUGCCUAGAAUAGAUGACUUAUUUGACCAACUGAAAGGAGCAUGUGUGUUCUCCAAAAUUGACCUCCGAUCUGGCUAUCACCAGUUGAAAAUCCGUGCAACUGACAUACCUAAGACAGCUUUUACCACAAGGUAUGGCUUGUAUGAGUAUACAGUCAUGUCAUUUGGGUUGACCAAUGCACCUGCAUACUUCAUGUAUAUGAUGAACAAGGUGUUCAUGGAGUAUUUGGAUAAGUUCGUGGUAGUAUUCAUUGAUGAUAUAUUAAUCUUCUCCAAAACCAAAGAAGAACAUGCUGAACACUUGAGGCUGGUCUUGCAAAAGCUUAGAGAGAAUAAAUUGUAUACCAAGAAAAGCAAGUGUGAGUUUUGGUUGGAUGAGGUCUCAUUUUUGGGACAUGUGGUCUCUAACGGUGGAAUAGCCGUAGACCCCAGUAAAGUGCAGGAUGUGCUAAAUUGGAAGCCCCCAACCAAUGCUAGUGAGAUCCGUAGCUUUUUGGGACUAGCUGGUUAUUAUAGGAGGUUUAUUGAAGGCUUCUCUAAGUUAGCAAAGCCCAUGACAGCUGUUGACGGUCCUUAAUGCUCACAUUUAACCAUCAACUAAUCAUAGAAAAGGAUCCAAAUACAACCAACACCUAGACUUAGGGUUUUAUCUGACAGAAUUCCACAAGUUUUGGUGUUUGUCUAUUUCUACAGGGGGUUAUCAGGAAAUACGGAAGAAAGACCCACAUGUCGGGUUUACAUAGAGAUAUUAACGUGCCGCACAAUUAUCUACCAUCUAGAAGAGUCCAGAAGCCACUGGGCGCCCGCCCUCCCUUACUGGGCGCCCGCGCUCCCCCUGGACCAAUCAGGGUGAAGUUCGGGGAUCAUGCUCCACCGACCUAAUACUUCAAGGAAAACCACACGAUCAAUGUCGGUUUGAUCCGACGACCCAGAUUCAUCUGAAAAGACUAUAUAAGCAAGGCCCCCUGGCCCCUGGAGAUCAUACCUCUUCUACAGAAUCAAAGUUAGGGUUUCAAUUCUUCAUCCAAGUAGAGAGGAUCCCUCUAGUUCUUCUAGUUCUACCUCUAGUUCAUCUAGAUCUAGUUCUAGUUCAUCUAGUUCUAGUUCUAGUUCCUCUAGUUCUAGUUCUAGUUAGUUCUAGUUGUAAUUUAGAAAAUAGGGAGAGAGAAGAGGAGAGCGGAGGAGGAGCCGGAUCUAUCGGAUCUUCCUCAACAUUAUACUUUUGCAGCAUCUGGUUCGUUCUUCAUCGUUCUCCAGGUUCUUCAACUCAUAACUCCUGAGUUCUCUAAUUACUUUUAUUUACAUUCAAGUUAUUUAUUGGAUUCCCGCUUGCAUCAAGUGCUCUAGUCUUUGAAACAUUAGAGUAGUAAUUAAUAGAUUAGACGUGGUGUUUAGUCUUGUGAUUACCUGGAAUUGCACCCAAUCCUGCGGAUUAUUGUGGUAGCCCUAGGGUAGUGACAGCCCAAACGGUCGACGUAUUCCACCUCGUUCGGAUCGGUGUCUGUAGGACCGUAGUCGGAGCUUCCUAGCCCCCUUCUCAUCUCUUUCUGUGGUUAGUGUUCUGAUGUCCCGAUAUAGAUAAUCUUGAAGUAAUUCUUGAUUCUUAGAUCAACUAGAGAACUCUCAGGAAACUUCCUCUCUUCCCACCAAAAAAUAAUUAUAUAGUUAUCCUUGGGCGAUCUUGGAUCUUAAUUAGUACACUCACGUUCUCUGUGGAAAAUCAAUACUCUGGAAUACUCCCGGGUGAAAGCUACAUCGGUAUCCGUGCGCUUGCGGAUUUUUCUGUUUGCGUUUAAAAUACCCAACAAGCUUUCUGGCGUCGUUGCCGGGGAACGGUAGCUGUGCUAGUUUCGAACCAAGUCGUCCGUGUAUCCUUUUUCUUUUCCUUAUUUACCACAUUCACCUUACCAUUUUCACCAUACCACAUGGCUUUCACUCUAAGCAUUAAUGAGCAUGGAAUUUAUUUCAUAGCCACUCCAUUUACUCCAUGCUCAUAUGCAACAUCUUCCCAAUCCAUAGGUUUUUCCAACAUCACCACAUUCGAGAUCUCCAACCCCCUCAUCCUUUCUAUUUAUAAAAACUUUAAAAGGGCGGUUGUCGAUGCAUAUGUCGAUAUUAAAUAUUGCAGAUCUCGUUGAGUUGAUCUUGAUAUAGGUCAGCGUUGGAGGGGAAACCACUUCACUGACAUAAAUUGAUGGUUUCCCAAGGACAAGCUUAGUGUCCUAAAACAAGCACUGAUCAGAUGUAACAUGAGCUUUUAAUUAUUUGCAACAUUACCUUGUGUGUUGAGCAUAUAGGAUAAUUGUAAAAAAUAUUCCUUCGGGUAUUCUUGUCACUAACCUUUCCAGGAUUGGAGCAAGAAGAUCGGAUGAAUGACAAGCACAAGGUAUGUCCAACCAAUCAUCAUGCAACAUUAAAUUAAAUUCAUCCAAUCUUGAAUUUUGCAAAAUUCAAGCUUGGGGGAGUACUUCGCAUAAAAACAUUCUUUGUCAUGUUGCUAUGUUAGUUGUCCCUACCUUUGAGACAUGCUCAAUUUGUUAAAUACUAAUCACACUACUUCAUCUCCACUUGAGUAGAUCUCUAUAAAUGCUCUCAUGGUACCUUUAUUUGCUUUAGUAUAUGUCUAGGUUUGGAGUAGUCUCAUUUACCUCUUAACUAAGCAUGGUGCUUAGUUUAGGAAUGAUGAUAUUACUUCCAAAGGAUUUUAAAUUAAGCAUGAUGCUUAGGUUAAAAUUCCCUCCUAAAUCAAAUUAGACAUGGUGUCUAGGUAGAUCUUUGAGCCGAUAGUAUGCUAUAGUAGAUAUUGGAUAUUUUUUUGGACUAACCCCUACAGGAAAACUUUCAAUAUUGACCUGGGAAGUCCUGAGAUAAACUCACAUUGGAGAUAAAGAGAGAGACACACGAAGUUUAACAAUUUACACAAGGAAGGCAUAGCUCACAAGAGAUGAUCCAUGGAGGGUGCCAAAAACACGAUGCACAACCGCUAAGAGAGGAAAGCUUCCACAAGGUGAUACUGUACCAUCACUCUUCAAGUAAGGUAACAUCUUAAAGUACUUGACUAUCACUUCUAUAAGCUUCUCCUUAGUUCAGGCGUUCACAUGAAU